GGGGAUGCCAUGGUUUCGACAUAAUUGAUGGACCACCCAAUGCAGUAGGGUUAGCCCUUUAUAGCUCAAGGCUUUGUUAAAUGCAACAAGUUCAAACGAUGAGUUAGACAUGAACGCACUUCUUUCUAACAAAUCAGCGCAAUAUAGUCUUAACUGUAAUUUAUAGUAUAAGCGUUGCGACUUUAGAGUAUUAAUCGUUUAUAAUUUCGUUUAAUACAAAACAAAAAUUAUUAUAUUGUUUGAUGCUAAUAAGAACAAUGAAAACUAUUAGCUUUGAAAUUAUUGAGUUGUUUAUUCCUUUUUUAAUAAUUUCGAGAUGCACAAAAUAAACUAAACUGUAGAUUUGCGUGAAAAGUCAAUUGUGGAAACGGGUUCGACUCCCGUCAUCUCCACCA
rnacentral:tmRNA from 1 species